rnacentral:rRNA from 1 species
GACGAACCGUGCGAACGUUUAUUCGGAAUCAUUGGGCUUAAAGCGCGUGUAGGCGGAUUCGUGCGUCUGUCGCUGAAAUCCCCCGGCUCAACCGGGGAAGUGGCGUGGAUACGACGAGUCUGGAGGGGCAUAGGGGGACCUGGAACUUCCGGUGGAGCGGUGAAAUGCGUUGAGAUCGGAAGGAACGCCCGUGGCGAAAGCGAGGUCCUGGAUGC